CCUACGGGAGGCAGCAGUGAGGAAUAUUGGUCAAUGGACGAGAGUCUGAACCAGCCAAGUCGCGUGAAGGAUGACUGCCCUAUGGGUUGUAAACUUCUUUUAUAAAGGAAUAAAACGCGGCACGUGUGCCUUUUUGCGUGUACUUUAUGAAUAAGGAUCGGCUAACUCCGUGCCAGCAGCCGCGGUAAUACGGAGGAUUCGAGCGUUAUCCGGAUUUAUUGGGUUUAAAGGGUGCGUAGAUGGGUUGUUAAGUCAGUUGGUAAAGUUUGGGGCUCAACCGUAAAAUUGCAAUUGAUACUGGCAGUCUUGAGUACAGGUGAGGUAGGCGGAAUGCGUGGUGUAGCGGUGAAAUGCUUAGAUAUCACGAAGAACCCCGAUUGCGAAGGCAGCUUGCUAACCUGUGACUGACAUUGAGGCUCGAAAGUGUGGGUAUCAAACAGGAUUAGAUACCCGUGUAGUC
rnacentral:rRNA from 1 species